rnacentral:tRNA from 1 species
GGCAAGGUAGCUCAGUGGUAGAGUGCUUGCUUAGCAUGUGAAAGACCCUGAGUUCAAUCCCCAGUAUGGCCU